GGCGCCAUCGUCUAGCGGUUAGGACGCCGGCCUCUCACGCCGGUAGCAGGGGUUCGAUUCCCCUUGGCGCUA
rnacentral:tRNA from 1 species